rnacentral:tRNA from 1 species
GGAGAGAUGGCUGAGUGGUCGAAAGCGCCGGACUCGAAAUCCGGUGUAGGGCUUGCCCUACCGUGGGUUCGAAUCCCACUCUCCGCCA